UACGGAGGAUGCAAGCGUUAUCCGGAAUGAUUGGGCGUAAAGCGUCCGCAGGUGGCUGUGUAAGUCUGCUGUUAAAGAGUCUAGCUCAACUAGAUAAAAGCAGUGGAAACUACACGGCUAGAGUACGUUCGGGGCAGAGGGAAUUCCUGGUGUAGCGGUGAAAUGCGUAGAGAUCAGGAAGAACAUCGGUGGCGAAGGCGCUCUGCUGGACCAUAACUGACACUCAGGGACGAAAGCUAGGGGAGCGAAUGGG
rnacentral:rRNA from 1 species